GAUGAACGCUGGCGGCGUGCCUAAUACAUGCAAGUCGAGCGAACAGACGAGGAGCUUGCUCCUCUGACGUUAGCGGCGGACGGGUGAGUAACACGUGGAUAACCUACCUAUAAGACUGGGAUAACUUCGGGAAACCGGAGCUAAUACCGGAUAAUAUAUUGAACCGCAUGGUUCAAUAGUGAAAGACGGUUUUGCUGUCACUUAUAGAUGGAUCCGCGCCGCAUUAGCUAGUUGGUAAGGUAACGGCUUACCAAGGCGACGAUGCGUAGCCGAACUGAGAGGGUGAUCGGCCACAUGGGAACUGAGACACGGUCCAGACUCCUACGGGAGGCAGCAGUAGGGAAUCUUCCGCAAUGGGCGAAAGCCUGACGGAGCAACGCCGCGUGAGUGAUGAAGGUCUUCGGAUCGUAAAACUCUGUUAUUAGGGAAGAACAAAUGUGUAAGUAACUAUGCACGUCUUGACGGUACCUAAUCAGAAAGCCACGGCUAACUACGUG
rnacentral:rRNA from 1 species